AGUUAUUUAGCUUAAAAUUAAAGCAUAUAUUUUGAAAAUAUAAGAUAGAUUGUUUAAUAACUU
rnacentral:tRNA from 1 species